rnacentral:rRNA from 1 species
GACGAACGCUGGCGGCGUGCUUAACACAUGCAAGUCGAACGGAAAGGCCCUGCUUUUGUGGGGUGCUCGAGUGGCGAACGGGUGAGUAACACGUGAGUAACCUGCCCUUGACUUUGGGAUAACUUCAGGAAACUGGGGCUAAUACCGGAUAUGAACUCCUGCUGCAUGGUGGGGGUUGGAAAGUUUCGGUGGUUGGGGAUGGACUCGCGGCUUAUCAGCUUGUUGGUGGGGUAGUGGCUUACCAAGGCUUUGACGGGUAGCCGGCCUGAGAGUGUGACCGGCCACAUUGGGACUGAGAUACGGCCCAGACUCCUACGGGAGGCAGCAGUGGGGAAUAUUGCACAAUGGGCGGAAGCAUGAUGCAGCAACGCCGCGUGCGGGAUGACGGCCUUCGGGUUGUAAACCGCUUGCGCCUGUGACGAAGCGUGAGUGACGGUAAUGGGUAAAGAAGCACCGGCUAACUACGUG